GUUACUGACAGAAGAAGCACCGGCUAACUCCGUGCCAGCAGCCGCGGUAAUACGGAGGGUGCGAGCGUUAAUCGGAAUUACUGGGCGUAAAGCGUACGCAGGCGGUUUGUUAAGCGAGAUGUGAAAGCCCCGGGCUCAACCUGGGAACUGCAUUUCGAACUGGCAAACUAGAGUGUGAUAGAGGGUGGUAGAAUUUCAGGUGUAGCGGUGAAAUGCGUAGAGAUCUGAAGGAAUACCGAUGGCGAAGGCAGCCACCUGGGUCAACACUGACGCUCAUGUACGAAAGCGUGGGGAGCAAACAGGAUUAGAUACCCUGGUAGUCCACGCCGUAAACGAUGUCUACUAGAAGCUCGGAACCUCGGUUCUGUUUUUCAAAGCUAACGCAUUAAGUAGACCGCCUGGGGAGUACGGCCGCAAGGUUAAAACUCAAAUGAAUUGACGG
rnacentral:rRNA from 1 species